rnacentral:rRNA from 1 species
GAUAAACGCUGGCGGCGUGCCUAACACAUGCAAGUCGCACGCUCUCUCGGCAACGAGAGGGAGUGGCGGACGGGUGAGUAACACGUGGAUAACCUAACCUCGUGGUGAGGAAUACCGGCGAGAAAUCGCUGACAAUACCGCAUAAGUUUGGAAACAAACAAAGCCGCAAGGCGCCAUGAGAUGGGUCCGCGUCCGAUUAGCUGGUUGGUGGG